rnacentral:rRNA from 1 species
GACGAACGCUGGCGGCGUGCUUAACACAUGCAAGUCGAACGGAAAGGCCCUGCUUUUGUGGGGUGCUCGAGUGGCGAACGGGUGAGUAACACGUGAGUAACCUGCCCUUGACUUUGGGAUAACUUCAGGAAACUGGGGCUAAUACCGGAUAGGAGCUCCUGCUGCAUGGUGGGGGUUGGAAAGUUUCGGCGGUUGGGGAUGGACUCGCGGCUUAUCAGCUUGUUGGUGGGGUAGUGGCUUACCAAGGCUUUGACGGGUAGCCGGCCUGAGAGGGUGACCGGACAAAUUGGGACUGAGCUACGGCCCAGACUCGUACGGGAGGCAGCGGAGGAGUAUAUUGCACAAUGGACUGAGGCCUGAUGUGGCCACGCCGCGUGCGGGAUGACGGCCUUCGGGUUGUAAACCGCUUUCGCCUGUGACGAAGCGUGAGUGACGGUAAUGGGUAAAGAAGCACCGGCUAACUACGUG